GACGAACGCUGGCGGCGUGCUUAACACAUGCAAGUCGAACGGAAAGGCCCUGCUUUUGUGGGGUGCUCGAGUGGCGAACGGGUGAGUAACACGUGAGUAACCUGCCCUUGACUUUGGGAUAACUUCAGGAAACUGGGGCUAAUACCGGAUAGGAGCUCCUGCUGCAUGGUGGGGGUUGGAAAGUUUCGGCUGUUGGGGAUGGACUCGCGGCUUAUCAGCUUGUUGGUGGGGUAGUGGCAUACCAAGGCUUUGACGGGUAGCCGGCCUGAGAGGGUGACCGGCCACAUUGGGACUGAGAUACGGCCCAGACUCCUACGGGAGGCAGCAGUGGGGAAUAUUGCACAAUGGGCGGAAGCCUGAUGCAGCAACGCCGCGUGCGGGAUGACGGCCUUCGGGUUGUAAACCGCUUUCGCCUGUGACGAAGCGUGAGUGACGGUAAUGGGUAAAGAAGCACCGGCUAACUACGUG
rnacentral:rRNA from 1 species